rnacentral:rRNA from 1 species
UACGUAGGUGGCUAGCGUUGUCCGGAUUUACUGGGCGUAAAGAGCGCGGCAGGACGGUCGUUCAAGUCGAGUGUGAAAGCCCCCCGGCUGCAACAUGGGGAGGGUCGCUCGAAUACUGAUCGACUCGAAGGCAGGAGAGGGAAGCGGAAGUCCCGGUGUACGUGGUGAAAUGCGUAGAUAUCGGGAGGGAACACCAGUGG